GAUGAACGCUGGCGGCGUGCCUAAUACAUGCAAGUCGAGCGAACAGACGAGGAGCUUGCUCCUUUGGCGUUAGCGGCGGACGGGUGAGUAACACGUAGGUAACCUACCUAUAAGACUGGGAUAACUUCGGGAAACCGGAGCUAAUACCGGAUAAUAUUUCGAACCGCAUGGUUCGAUAGUGAAAGAUGGCUUUGCUAUCACUUAUAGAUGGACCUGCGCCGUAUUAGCUAGUUGGUAAGGUAACGGCUUACCAAGGCAACGAUACGUAGCCGACCUGAGAGGGUGAUCGGCCACACUGGAACUGAGACACGGUCCAGACUCCUACGGGAGGCAGCAGUAGGGAAUCUUCCGCAAAGGGCGAAAGCCUGACGGAGCAACGCCGCGUGAGUGAUGAAGGUCUUCGGAUCGUAAAACUCUGUUAUUAGGGAAGAACAAACGUGUAAGUAACUGUGCACGUCUUGACGGUACCUAAUCAGAAAGCCACGGCUAACUACGUG
rnacentral:rRNA from 1 species